CUAGUUAUGCAAUUGGAGCUAGCCUAUUCUCUCUGGAGGAAGAACCACUUCAAAAUAGCAUGCCCAGAAUUCCAAAUGUGUUGCUAUCUGUGGAGGAAGAUUUUGAUUUUCUUGAUGCAAGUACCCAAUCAUCAGCUGGAACUUUAUCCGCACGGACUAGGGCUGUGGUGCAAUUUCUUAAAAAUCAAUCACCACCUCAGA